rnacentral:rRNA from 1 species
GGUUAAGCGACUAAGCGUACACGGUGGAUGCCCUGGCAGUCAGAGGCGAUGAAGGACGUGCUAAUCUGCGAUAAGCGUCGGUAAGGUGAUAUGAACCGUUAUAACCGGCGAUUUCCGAAUGGGGAAACCCAGUGUGAUUCGUCACACUAUCAUUAACUGAAUCCAUAGGUUAAUGAGGCGAACCGGGGGAACUGAAACAUCUAAGUACCCCGAGGAAAAGAAAUCAACCGAGAUUCCCCCAGUAGCGGCGAGCGAACGGGGAGGAGCCCAGAGCCUGAAUCAGUGUGUGUGUUAGUGGAAGCGUCUGGAAAGGCGCGCGAUACAGGGUGACAGCCCCGUACACAAAAAUGCACAUGCUGUGAGCUCGAUGAGUAGGGCGGGACACGUGGUAUCCUGUCUGAAUAUGGGGGGACCAUCCUCCAAGGCUAAAUACUCCUGACUGACCGAUAGUGAACCAGUACCGUGAGGGAAAGGCGAAAAGAACCCCGGCGAGGGGAGUGAAAAAGAACCUGAAACCGUGUACGUACAAGCAGUGGGAGCCUCUUUAUGGGGUGACUGCGUACCUUUUGUAUAAUGGGUCAGCGACUUAUAUUCUGUAGCAAGGUUAACCGAAUAGGGGAGCCGAAGGGAAACCGAGUCUUAACUGGGCGUUAAGUUGCAGGGUAUAGACCCGAAACCCGGUGAUCUAGCCAUGGGCAGGUUGAAGGUUGGGUAACACUAACUGGAGGACCGAACCGACUAAUGUUGAAAAAUUAGCGGAUGACUUGUGGCUGGGGGUGAAAGGCCAAUCAAACCGGGAGAUAGCUGGUUCUCCCCGAAAGCUAUUUAGGUAGCGCCUCGUGAAUUCAUCUCCGGGGGUAGAGCACUGUUUCGGCAAGGGGGUCAUCCCGACUUACCAACCCGAUGCAAACUGCGAAUACCGGAGAAUGUUAUCACGGGAGACACACGGCGGGUGCUAACGUCCGUCGUGAAGAGGGAAACAACCCAGACCGCCAGCUAAGGUCCCAAAGUCAUGGUUAAGUGGGAAACGAUGUGGGAAGGCCCAGACAGCCAGGAUGUUGGCUUAGAAGCAGCCAUCAUUUAAAGAAAGCGUAAUAGCUCACUGGUCGAGUCGGCCUGCGCGGAAGAUGUAACGGGGCUAAACCAUGCACCGAAGCUGCGGCAGCGACACUAUGUGUUGUUGGGUAGGGGAGCGUUCUGUAAGCCUGUGAAGGUGUGCUGUGAGGCAUGCUGGAGGUAUCAGAAGUGCGAAUGCUGACAUAAGUAACGAUAAAGCGGGUGAAAAGCCCGCUCGCCGGAAGACCAAGGGUUCCUGUCCAACGUUAAUCGGGGCAGGGUGAGUCGACCCCUAAGGCGAGGCCGAAAGGCGUAGUCGAUGGGAAACAGGUUAAUAUUCCUGUACUUGGUGUUACUGCGAAGGGGGGACGGAGAAGGCUAUGUUGGCCGGGCGACGGUUGUCCCGGUUUAAGCGUGUAGGCUGGUUUUCCAGGCAAAUCCGGAAAAUCAAGGCUGAGGCGUGAUGACGAGGCACUACGGUGCUGAAGCAACAAAUGCCCUGCUUCCAGGAAAAGCCUCUAAGCAUCAGGUAACAUCAAAUCGUACCCCAAACCGACACAGGUGGUCAGGUAGAGAAUACCAAGGCGCUUGAGAGAACUCGGGUGAAGGAACUAGGCAAAAUGGUGCCGUAACUUCGGGAGAAGGCACGCUGAUAUGUAGGUGAAGCGACUUGCUCGUGGAGCUGAAAUCAGUCGAAGAUACCAGCUGGCUGCAACUGUUUAUUAAAAACACAGCACUGUGCAAACACGAAAGUGGACGUAUACGGUGUGACGCCUGCCCGGUGCCGGAAGGUUAAUUGAUGGGGUCAGCGCAAGCGAAGCUCUUGAUCGAAGCCCCGGUAAACGGCGGCCGUAACUAUAACGGUCCUAAGGUAGCGAAAUUCCUUGUCGGGUAAGUUCCGACCUGCACGAAUGGCGUAAUGAUGGCCAGGCUGUCUCCACCCGAGACUCAGUGAAAUUGAACUCGCUGUGAAGAUGCAGUGUACCCGCGGCAAGACGGAAAGACCCCGUGAACCUUUACUAUAGCUUGACACUGAACAUUGAGCCUUGAUGUGUAGGAUAGGUGGGAGGCUUUGAAGUGUGGACGCCAGUCUGCAUGGAGCCGACCUUGAAAUACCACCCUUUAAUGUUUGAUGUUCUAACGUUGGCCCCUGAUCGGGGUUGCGGACAGUGUCUGGUGGGUAGUUUGACUGGGGCGGUCUCCUCCUAAAGAGUAACGGAGGAGCACGAAGGUUGGCUAAUCCUGGUCGGACAUCAGGAGGUUAGUGCAAUGGCAUAAGCCAGCUUGACUGCGAGCGUGACGGCGCGAGCAGGUGCGAAAGCAGGUCAUAGUGAUCCGGUGGUUCUGAAUGGAAGGGCCAUCGCUCAACGGAUAAAAGGUACUCCGGGGAUAACAGGCUGAUACCGCCCAAGAGUUCAUAUCGACGGCGGUGUUUGGCACCUCGAUGUCGGCUCAUCACAUCCUGGGGCUGAAGUAGGUCCCAAGGGUAUGGCUGUUCGCCAUUUAAAGUGGUACGCGAGCUGGGUUUAGAACGUCGUGAGACAGUUCGGUCCCUAUCUGCCGUGGGCGCUGGAGAACUGAGGGGGGCUGCUCCUAGUACGAGAGGACCGGAGUGGACGCAUCACUGGUGUUCGGGUUGUCAUGCCAAUGGCACUGCCCGGUAGCUAAAUGCGGAAGAGAUAAGUGCUGAAAGCAUCUAAGCACGAAACUUGCCCCGAGAUGAGUUCUCCCUGACUCCCUGAGAGUCCUGAAGGAACGUUGAAGACGACGACGUUGAUAGGCCGGGUGUGUAAGCGCAGCGAUGCGUUGAGCUAACCGGUACUAAUGAACCGUGAGGCUUAACCUU